rnacentral:rRNA from 1 species
GGGUUGUGAGGUUAAGCGACUAAGCGUACACGGUGGAUGCCCUGGCAGUCAGAGGCGAUGAAGGACGUGCUAAUCUGCGAUAAGCGUCGGUAAGGUGAUAUGAACCGUUAUAACCGGCGAUUUCCGAAUGGGGAAACCCAGUGUGAUUCGUCACACUAUCAUUAACUGAAUCCAUAGGUUAAUGAGGCGAACCGGGGGAACUGAAACAUCUAAGUACCCCGAGGAAAAGAAAUCAACCGAGAUUCCCCCAGUAGCGGCGAGCGAACGGGGAGGAGCCCAGAGCCUGAAUCAGUGUGUGUGUUAGUGGAAGCGUCUGGAAAGGCGCGCGAUACAGGGUGACAGCCCCGUACACAAAAAUGCACAUAUUGUGAGCUCGAUGAGUAGGGCGGGACACGUGGUAUCCUGUCUGAAUAUGGGGGGACCAUCCUCCAAGGCUAAAUACUCCUGACUGACCGAUAGUGAACCAGUACCGUGAGGGAAAGGCGAAAAGAACCCCGGCGAGGGGAGUGAAAAAGAACCUGAAACCGUGUACGUACAAGCAGUGGGAGCACGCUUCGGCGUGUGACUGCGUACCUUUUGUAUAAUGGGUCAGCGACUUAUAUUCUGUAGCAAGGUUAACCGAAUAGGGGAGCCGAAGGGAAACCGAGUCUUAACUGGGCGUUAAGUUGCAGGGUAUAGACCCGAAACCCGGUGAUCUAGCCAUGGGCAGGUUGAAGGUUGGGUAACACUAACUGGAGGACCGAACCGACUAAUGUUGAAAAAUUAGCGGAUGACUUGUGGCUGGGGGUGAAAGGCCAAUCAAACCGGGAGAUAGCUGGUUCUCCCCGAAAGCUAUUUAGGUAGCGCCUCGUGAAUUCAUCUCCGGGGGUAGAGCACUGUUUCGGCAAGGGGGUCAUCCCGACUUACCAACCCGAUGCAAACUGCGAAUACCGGAGAAUGUUAUCACGGGAGACACACGGCGGGUGCUAACGUCCGUCGUGAAGAGGGAAACAACCCAGACCGCCAGCUAAGGUCCCAAAGUCAUGGUUAAGUGGGAAACGAUGUGGGAAGGCCCAGACAGCCAGGAUGUUGGCUUAGAAGCAGCCAUCAUUUAAAGAAAGCGUAAUAGCUCACUGGUCGAGUCGGCCUGCGCGGAAGAUGUAACGGGGCUAAACCAUGCACCGAAGCUGCGGCAGCGACGCUGAUGCGUUGUUGGGUAGGGGAGCGUUCUGUAAGCCUGCGAAGGUGUGCUGUGAGGCAUGCUGGAGGUAUCAGAAGUGCGAAUGCUGACAUAAGUAACGAUAAAGCGGGUGAAAAGCCCGCUCGCCGGAAGACCAAGGGUUCCUGUCCAACGUUAAUCGGGGCAGGGUGAGUCGACCCCUAAGGCGAGGCCGAAAGGCGUAGUCGAUGGGAAACAGGUUAAUAUUCCUGUACUUGGUGUUACUGCGAAGGGGGACGGAGAAGGCUAUGUUGGCCGGGCGACGGUUGUCCCGGUUUAAGCGUGUAGGCUGGUUUUCCAGGCAAAUCCGGAAAAUCAAGGCUGAGGCGUGAUGACGAGGCACUACGGUGCUGAAGCAACAAAUGCCCUGCUUCCAGGAAAAGCCUCUAAGCAUCAGGUAACAUCAAAUCGUACCCCAAACCGACACAGGUGGUCAGGUAGAGAAUACCAAGGCGCUUGAGAGAACUCGGGUGAAGGAACUAGGCAAAAUGGUGCCGUAACUUCGGGAGAAGGCACGCUGAUAUGUAGGUGAAGUCCCUCGCGGAUGGAGCUGAAAUCAGUCGAAGAUACCAGCUGGCUGCAACUGUUUAUUAAAAACACAGCACUGUGCAAACACGAAAGUGGACGUAUACGGUGUGACGCCUGCCCGGUGCCGGAAGGUUAAUUGAUGGGGUCAGCGCAAGCGAAGCUCUUGAUCGAAGCCCCGGUAAACGGCGGCCGUAACUAUAACGGUCCUAAGGUAGCGAAAUUCCUUGUCGGGUAAGUUCCGACCUGCACGAAUGGCGUAAUGAUGGCCAGGCUGUCUCCACCCGAGACUCAGUGAAAUUGAACUCGCUGUGAAGAUGCAGUGUACCCGCGGCAAGACGGAAAGACCCCGUGAACCUUUACUAUAGCUUGACACUGAACAUUGAGCCUUGAUGUGUAGGAUAGGUGGGAGGCUUUGAAGUGUGGACGCCAGUCUGCAUGGAGCCGACCUUGAAAUACCACCCUUUAAUGUUUGAUGUUCUAACGUUGACCCGUAAUCCGGGUUGCGGACAGUGUCUGGUGGGUAGUUUGACUGGGGCGGUCUCCUCCUAAAGAGUAACGGAGGAGCACGAAGGUUGGCUAAUCCUGGUCGGACAUCAGGAGGUUAGUGCAAUGGCAUAAGCCAGCUUGACUGCGAGCGUGACGGCGCGAGCAGGUGCGAAAGCAGGUCAUAGUGAUCCGGUGGUUCUGAAUGGAAGGGCCAUCGCUCAACGGAUAAAAGGUACUCCGGGGAUAACAGGCUGAUACCGCCCAAGAGUUCAUAUCGACGGCGGUGUUUGGCACCUCGAUGUCGGCUCAUCACAUCCUGGGGCUGAAGUAGGUCCCAAGGGUAUGGCUGUUCGCCAUUUAAAGUGGUACGCGAGCUGGGUUUAGAACGUCGUGAGACAGUUCGGUCCCUAUCUGCCGUGGGCGCUGGAGAACUGAGGGGGGCUGCUCCUAGUACGAGAGGACCGGAGUGGACGCAUCACUGGUGUUCGGGUUGUCAUGCCAAUGGCACUGCCCGGUAGCUAAAUGCGGAAGAGAUAAGUGCUGAAAGCAUCUAAGCACGAAACUUGCCCCGAGAUGAGUUCUCCCUGACCCUUUAAGGGUCCUGAAGGAACGUUGAAGACGACGACGUUGAUAGGCCGGGUGUGUAAGCGCAGCGAUGCGUUGAGCUAACCGGUACUAAUGAACCGUGAGGCUUAACCUUACAACGCCGAAG